rnacentral:lncRNA from 1 species
AACCGGGGCUGGAGGCUCUCAUACAGGGCUGCAGGAAAUGAGUGCCCAGAGCUACAGCCUCCUGUCCAUGGGAAAAUCGAGCCCUCCCAAGCCAAGUAUUUCUUCAAAGACCAAGUGCUCGUCAGCUGUGACACAGGCUACAAAGUGCUGAAGGUGCAGAGCCUUGCCUGGGAAAGGGGAGUGACCAGGCCACAGAAACUCUCGAAACCUGCCCCUCCCCAGGGCAGAUGGGCUGCCAGAACUUGUCAUAGUUCCAGCACAGAAUUUCCUAGCUGCCCAUCAACUUCUCAAAUGCUCCAGAAAUUCCAAAGCAUGCGUCCCAGGCGGUCUCACACUCUGAAAGUGGCACAAAAGUUUGUUUUUUUUUUUUUUUUAAUCAGAGCAUGAGCUGGUUUGAAUUUUUAAAAUAU